rnacentral:pre_miRNA from 1 species
GGAAUAUAAGAACCCGUCUCUUAACUUUAAACUAAAAAAGCUAAGAAGCAGCUCUUAAAACUCUUAUUUAAGAGCCGGUUCUUAGUUUUUUUAGUUAAAAAUUAAGAGACGGGUUCUUAUAUUCC